GGACAUUCAAGACCAGCACCCGAAACAAGAAAUCCUUAAUGACAUGUCAUUUGUAUCCUAAGAAUUCCUACAGUUCAACCGGGACUCAAUAUCUGUCAAUUGGUCAUAGCAUUGAUACGUUUAUAUAUUUCAAUCUAUUUACAAUAAAAUAACAUAGUAAACAUUCAAAUUAAAUAACAUUAAUACGAUAACUGUUCAUACGAACUUACCUCGAUAAUUAGGGGCGUAAAAGUUAAAUCAACUAAUCCG
rnacentral:lncRNA from 1 species